rnacentral:rRNA from 1 species
GACGAACGCUGGCGGCGUGCUUAACACAUGCAAGUCGAACGGAGUGGCGAACGGGGGAGUAACACGGGGGUGACCUGCCCUGCACUUCGGGAUAAGACUGGGAAACUGGGUCUAAUAACGGAUAGUGUGGGAUGGGGCCGCGGCCUAUCAGCUUGUGGGGGGGGUAAUGGCCUACCAAGGCGGCGCCGGGGAGCCGGCCUGAGAGGGUGGCCGGCCACAUUGUGACUGAGACUCGGCCCAGACUCCUACGGGAGGCAGCAGUGGGGAAUAUUGCACAAUGGGCGGAAGCCUGAUGCAGCGUCGCCGCGUGGGGGAUGACGGCCUUCGGGUUGUAAACUCCUUUCACCAUCGACGCGGUAGAUGGAGAAGAAGCACCGGCUAACUUCGUGCCAGCAGCCGCGGUAAUUC